AUUUUUUUAUGUUUGUUUGUGUUUUGCUAGGGUUUUGCUUUUUUAUUUCUCAGUUUUUCAGUUCUAAUGGUGAUUUUUGAUUUGCAGAAUUCUCACUAUGUUGAUGAUGGAUCAACGCGUGCGAUGAUGCUGUUUAAUAUUUUGUUUUGUGGUAUUUGUGGAUGGAAAAACUCAAGAUAGAUUUCUCCUUCAGAAACAACUCAUGGGUUUUUUGUUCCAAGAACUGAUGAUGCAGACUUGCAACAAAUGGAUCUGGUAAUUUUUUGUUUUUUUGUUUGUUUUCUAUUUUUUUUUAUUUUCUGUUAUGGUCUUUGCAAGGUUCCAUUAUCAUUACUAGACUGAAACCAGCAUUUAACCUGCACCAAAUGUGCAAGUUUCUUCUCUUAUGGUGCUCCGGUGAGAACAUUAUAAUCCAAACACCAAAUAGUCCAGUUUCUUCUUCUUACCUCAUACGAUGAGCGAUGAGGAUAAUAUGAUCAAAGAUCAGCAGAAGGAGUAUUUAUAAGAGAAUAAGACAUGAUUCUAGAUUUUGUCGUUGAUGUUGAAGAUUGUUUACGCAGUGCGAUGUUUUACGGUAGUGCGAUGUUUUACGGUUAUACAUGAUGAAGAAUUAUUCACGAUCUUGAUUCCGCAAGCGUGUAUAGGUAUUGAUGGUUGCGGCAACGGGUGGUCAUCAGGAUCGAUAAUUUUUUUUGGAGCUUCGUGGUGAUGAGAAUUAACUUAUGCAUGCAAGGUAUAGAAUAGUGAAAUUAUCUUUUUAGCGUUCUUAGGAUAUUUUUGUUGAUUUUCUAUGUUGUAGUUGUUGGUGAUGUUGUUAUGCGAGUACAACUGAACUAGGUGCUCUAACUUCUCAAUUUAGGUUCUUAAUUAGCGGGUUAGAUAUUAAGGAGUUCGAUUAUAUUUAUGUUUCAGAUUGUAAACUCUAUAUGGCACCAUGAACUAAUACUUGAUCCGUGGCCGGUGAAAAUUUACCAAAAAAAUUAGGGAGGAUACCGCAGUCUUUAGGACCACUAAUUAUUGUUGCAGAACAUUGAUGAUAACUGCAUUCCUCGAGUGUUUGAUUUACCAUGCAUUAAAUUAAAAUUAUAGGUUAGCGACGCUUUUUUCUUGAUAACAUCUGUGCGUUUAAAUGGUUUUGGGAUGUGGGUUAAAUUUUACUUGCCGUAAAUGCGUAAGACAUCAGAUUCCCGUCAAAUAAAACUGAACGGGAAAUUUUGAAAAGAAUUUUGUGUCCAUUUUGUUAAUCUUGGUCGCGUGUUCUUUUGAAAAGAUUCUUGAUCCAUGUAUGAUUAGUACGGUGAUAAUUGCGUGUAUUUAACCUGGAAGUCAUUUUUCAUUUUUACUUUCGCUUCUAAAAUCCAAGAUUAGAAGGAGAAGGAUCGGAACGGUGUAACCUUCAAUCCAUUUUUGGAGCUUCAAUGAAUACUAUACACUCUAAAUACGUUGUAUUUCUAAUUUAUUUGUAUAGAACAUAAAAGUUGCAUCAUUUAUCAAGGCCUGCAGAGCAUGAAUUCCAUCAUUUAAUUAUAGACGAUACCAGAUGACGAUACCAAGUGCAUAUGCUCCUAAUGCGGUAGUCUUAGGGAAAAAGUGUCAUUUAUCCACCAUAGAUGAGAAUACGGGGAACUUAAAUUUAGCUAUGGGUCAAUUUAAAUGAGUCAAUUCUAUUGGAUUGUCUGUAUCUGUACAGAAAGUUUUCUGAAUUUUAGAAAGUGCUCGUAAGGUCUGAACUUUAUCGAGAAAUUAGUUAGUGCACUUGCACGGGAUGUACAGGUUGGCAUAUUGGUGCUUGGCAGCGUGUUGCUGGGAUUUUUUCAAGUGCGCUUUCUUGGUUUAUGGAUUUUUCUACAAAAAUGUACCAAAUAUCUCUUCUCUUUCCUUCAGUUUUUAAGUUUUGCUUUGGCUGUAGACGACCUAAAUUGAAGUGUGAUCUUCAUUGAAGGUAAGUAAUUUGGGGUGAGAUUUUUGUAUCUGGUCAAGCCAAAUGGUCUACCAUUCUCUCCGCAAACAAUAAACAUGGUUUAACAUAAAGCUUCAGUUAAAGAAUAAAUAAGCUAACUACUAUCGACACAGUUUUGAUUUCCAU